rnacentral:rRNA from 1 species
UAGUUGGUGGAGUGAUCUGUCUGGUUAAUUCCGUUAACGAACGAGACCUUAACCUGCUAAAUAGUUACACAUAAUUGCGGUUAUGUGGGCAACUUCUUAGAGGGACUUUGUGUGUCUAACGCAAGGAAGUUUGAGGCAAUAACAGGU